GUCGGGAUGACCGAGCGGUCUAAGGCGCUGCGUUCAGGUCGCAGUCUACCCUUGUAGGCGUGAGUUCGAAUCCCACUCCUGACA
rnacentral:tRNA from 1 species